GGUGAGUAACACGUGCUUAAUCUACCCUUUAGAUUGGAAUACCCAAUGGAAACAUUGGCUAAUGCCGGAUACGCAUGGAAUCGCAUGAUUCCGUUGUGAAAGGAGCCCUUAAAGCUCCGCUAGAGGAUGAGGGUGCGGAACAUUAGUUAGUUGGUAGGGUAAUGGCCUACCAAGACUAUGAUGUUUAGCCGGGUCGAGAGACUGAACGGCCACAUUGGGACUGAGAUACGGCCCAAACUCCUACGGGAGGCAGCAGUAGGGAAUAUUCCACAAUGAGCGAAAGCUUGAUGGAGCAACACAGCGUGCACGAUGAAGGUCUUCGGAUUGUAAAGUGCUGUUAUAGGGAAAGAACACCUGGUUGAGGAAAUGCUUCCAGGCUGACGGUACCCUGUCAGAAAGCGAUGGCUAACUAUGUGCCAGCAGCCGCGGUAAUACAUAGGUCGCAAGCGUUAUCCGGAAUUAUUGGGCGUAAAGCGUUCGUAGGCUGUUUAUUAAGUCUGGAGUCAAAUCCCAGGGCUCAACCCUGGCUCGCUUUGGAUACUGGUAAACUAGAGUUAGAUAGAGGUAAGCGGAAUUCCAUGUGAAGCGGUGAAAUGCGUAGAUAUAUGGAAGAACACCGAAGGCGAAGGCAGCUUACUGGGUCUAUACUGACGCUGAGGGACGAAAGCGUGGGGAGCAAACAGGAUUAGAUACCCUGGUAGUCCACGCCGUAAACGAUGAUCAUUAGUCGGUGGAGAGUUCACUGACGCAGCUAACGCAUUAAAUGAUCCGCCUGAGUAGUAUGCUCGCAAGAGUGAAACUUAAAGGAAUUGACGGGGACCCGCACAAGCGGUGGAGCAUGUGGUUUAAUUUGAAGAUACGCGGAGAACCUUACCCACUCUUGACAUCCUUCGCAAUGCUAUA
rnacentral:rRNA from 1 species